rnacentral:rRNA from 1 species
UACGUAGGCAGCGAGCGUUGUUCGGAGUUACUGGGCGUAAAGGGUGUGUGGGCGGUUCGCUAAGUCGGUUGUGAAAUCCCUGGGCUUAACCUGGGAACUGCAGUCGAUACUGGCGGACUAGAAUGCGGUAGAGGGUGGCGGAACUCCGGGUGUAGCGGUGAAAUGCGUAGAUAUCCGGAAGAACACCGAUGGCGAAGGCAACCACCUGGGCCUGCAUUGACGCUGAGGUACGAAAGCGUGGGGAGCAAACAGG